GCCGAACUGUGUGUGUUUAGUGCGGUUAAAUUUGAUAGUUAUUGAAACAUCGUGAAAUUAUGGAUAUACAAUUUGAAUGUGGCUUUUCACUUGCGGAAGCGCUUGAAAUGGUGUAUAACGAUGAUCUUGACGGCGAUAUUUACAUUGAGCCACCAGAACCCAAUGUAGACACAGAUGAGGACUCAGCUGACGAGGACGAUGGCGGGCUUGUUGACAAUUUGACAGCUCGACAGGUUGCGAGCCCCGGCCGAAAUAAGAUUAUACAAUAACGAGAGAUUGGGUAUCCAAUAUGAGAAAAGCAGGAACGAAAAACUCUCAAAAUCUACAGCAUCUAUAUAAUUUAAAUAACGGUUACAUAUGUUUCACUUGGUUAGGGCAUCAUCAGACCUUAAAAAAUUAUUAAUUUAAAAUAAAAUUACAAUAAAAAAUAAGGUUUUCCCUUACCAAAAGUAGGACGAUACACAUACAUACACGUAAACGAACUCUAAUUGUAUACAAACAAAACAUUCCAAAUAGGUAUAAAGAUUAAAAAUUUUAUAAUUAAUACACAUUGUGACAUCUACAAUAAAACACAUUAAUUUACUAGAGUGAAGUUAAGUAA